rnacentral:rRNA from 1 species
CGGAAGAAGAACAACAGGGAUUGCCCCAGUAACGGCGAGUGAAGCGGCAACAGCUCAAAUUUGAAAUCUGGCCCCCAGGGUCCGAGUUGUAAUUUGCAGAGGAUGCUUUUGGCGAGGUGCCUUCCGAGUGCCCUGGAACGGGACGCCAUAGAGGGUGAGAGCCCCGUCUGGUUGGACACCGAGCCUCUGUAAAGCUCCUUCGACGAGUCGAGUAGUUUGGGAAUGCUGCUCUAAAUGGGAGGUAUAUGUCUUCUAAAGCUAAAUAUUGGCCAGAGACCGAUAGCGCACAAGUAGAGUGAUCGAAAGAUGAAAAGCACUUUGAAAAGAGGGUUAAAUAGUACGUGAAAUUGUUGAAAGGGAAGCGCUUAUGACCAGACUUGGGCCCGGUGAAUCAUCCAGCGUUCUCGCUGGUGCACUUUGCCGGGCUCAGGCCAGCAUCAGUUUGCCUCGGGGGAUAAAGGCUCUGGGAAUGUGGCUCCUCCGGGAGUGUUAUAGCCCACCGCACAAUACCCUGGGGCGGACUGAGGUUCGCGCAUUUAUGCAAGGAUGCUGGCGUAAUGGUCAUCAGCGACCCGUCUUGAAACACGGACCAAGGAGUCGUCUUCGUAUGCGAGUGUUCGGGUGUCAAACCCCUACGCGUAAUGAAAGUGAACGCAGGUGAGAGCUUCGGCGCAUCAUCGACCGAUCCUGAUGUUCUCGGAUGGAUUUGAGUAAGAGCAUACGGGGCCGGACCCGAAAGAAGGUGAACUAUGCCUGUAUAGGGUGAAGCCAGAGGAAACUCUGGUGGAGGCUCGCAGCGGUUCUGACGUGCAAAUCGAUCGUCAAAUAUGGGCAUGGGGGCGAAAGACUAAUCGAACCUUCUAGUAGCUGGUUUCCGCCGAAUUCCCCCCUAGGG